CUCAGUUUCAGUGGAACUAGAUUACCUUUUGUUUCUUUUCAUGUUUUGUUCCCGUGUUUUUAUUCACCCGACAGCCUUUUUUUUUCCACUCCUGUCAUUCGGCCUCCUGAUUUAUUUUCUUUUUAGCCAGCGUUUUCAUAUUUCUUCCCCAGGACUUUAUUGUGCACGUUAAAUUUUGCUAUAUAAACUAUUUUUCCUUGGAUUUUUAUCUCGGGUGAACAUCUAUCUUUGUCUCAGGCUUUUCUGGGGUUCUUGGUUUGUUUCUGUGGUGUCUGUGAGAGAGUUCUCCAGCUGUGGUUUGCUCUCAGCUUGAUUGGUUUCUUCACCAGGUUUGUUUUCCUUCUUUCUUUCUUUGGUUGCCAUCUUGUGUUUGCUUUUUUUCCUCUUUGAAUCUGUAAUCUUGCUGAAAUGCUAAAUUGCUUAACUGUGUAAAAUGGAGGUACAAAACAGAUUACCAGAACUGCUAAACUGCAGGGAAGAAAAGCCUGCUCCUUUUGAGUUGGAAUUAACAAAAGGCUCACUGGAUAUGUGUGUGCUGAAUCAGUGUGUUCUGGAUUCUAUAUUCUGCGUAACAAUCAAAGCUGCCAGGUUAUAUGAAAUAUAGUGCUGUGUGCAUUCAAAUGAUCUUUUUAUGUUUAGGCUUUACAUUAACUAUGUGAUGUUGAAAUUUGUGGUUCGACGGAAGAUGCUUAUUUUCUUUGGAAUAUAUAAUGGAUCAGGUCUUUUUUAGUUGUUCUUUUUAAUCUGUCUAAGUUUGGAUGGAGCAAUUGAUGAUCCGCAUGCGUCCAUCCAUGAUGAAAAACUAUAGUUUAUCCUUUUCCCUUUCUCCUUUUGCAGAUGUUACUUUCCUUUUAUCCCUUUUUCCUAUUUGGAAUGAACAAAAGUGCUAUUGAUUAGUUACAGCAAGCAAUGAUAACCUGUUCCUUUGAUUUCCAUUCAAAGAAAUAAAAAAAAAAGUGGUGUGGAGGAGUAUAGUGAAGCUGGUCUGCAGAAGUUUGGCAGUAACAUCACAGUAGAGGAUAUCAUGAACAUGCUGUGUUUUUUCAGGCUGAGUUGGUUCAGUGGUUAAUGGUUUUGCAUCUGGUUUUGUGGCUUUCAUGGGUGCAAGUCCAGUAAUUCUGGAAUCCAAUUGUCUUUUCCUUUCAUUAUAAGAGCCAGUUUUUCUUCUUAUUUCAUUAUCUCUGCUCUUGAACACCCAUCAGACCAUUUCUUUGCUCACUGUGCUUCAUUAUCAGUUAUCAGCUUCAAUGACAUAUUAACAUUUAAACAGUGGCAUGCACUUUCUAAUUGGGUGCAAGAUGAGCUUCUUAGUCAUUUAAAUUUCUAACUAACAAUUUAAAAUUCAACGUUUUCAGCAAUUGCUGCUGUUUUCCAUCCGUGUUUGGGAGCCUUCAGAUCAGUGAUAAAUCGAUGUGGCAUCGUUGUCACAAACGUAUCUGAUGAUGACUCGAACGAGGGGCUGGACAGCACCCCUGUUGAUGCAUAGACACAUCUCACAGUGGCUUCAACAAGCAUAACAGCUGAUGCAUCGAGCUCUAGCACUCCCCCUCCAUUGAGCCAAUAACCUGAGCAAUCCUCGGUCCACCUCAUGCUAAUCCAGAAUCUUCUUUGCAGCAGCAGCAAAAGUCCUCUCAGCUCCAGGGCAACCUCCAACUCAUCUGCCUGCCACAAACAAGAAGGCUUCAGUUUGACGAUACAGUGUCUUACCAAAAUUGAAGGAGCCAUCUUUGCAGAACAUGUUGAAGUAGAGGGAAGCCCUCCUCUGUUAACCCAUGAUGACUUAGAAAACAACACCCAAGAAAAUGUGAUCCUCAAAGGACUCGCUGUGAGGAUGCUCCACCACCUUUUUGCGAGGGCUCAAGUCAGCUUAUAAUUUUUUUGACGUUGCUUCCACAUAGUAGCUGCUUAACAGCAUCAACAUUUCCAUCUCCAAUCAUCAACAACUGAGUCUUCAGAGCACACAACUCCCUAGUUCGGCAUAUGCCUUCGUGCUUUUUGUUAGCAGAGAAAAUGCUUACUCAAACUAACACUCUUUUCAUGUAAAUUUUGGAACUGCAAUCUGUUCGUUUCCAUAAAACUAACGUUUCGCUUGCCA